rnacentral:rRNA from 1 species
CCUACGGGAGGCUGCAGUGGGGAAUAUUGCGCAAUGGGCGAAACCCUGACGCAGCGACGCCGCGUGAGGGAUGGAGGUCUUCGGAUCGUAAACCUCUGUCAGCAGGGAAGAACGGUCACUGUACUAAUCAGCAGUGAAUUGACGGUACCUGCAAAGGAAGCACCGGCUAACUCCGUGCGAGCAGCCGCGGUAAUACGGAGGGGGCGAGCGUUAAUCGGAAGUACUGGGCGGAAAGCGCUCGUAGGCGGUAUGGCAAGUCAAGGGUGAAAGCCCCGCGCUCAACGUGGGAACUGCCUGUGAAACUGGGAGACUGGAGUGUGUGAGAGGCUAGUGGAAUUCCAGGUGUAGGAGUG